AAGCUUGCUUCUCUGAUGUUAGCGGCGGACGGGUGAGUAACACGUGGAUAACCUACCUAUAAGACUGGGAUAACUUCGGGAAACCGGAGCUAAUACCGGAUAAUAUUUUGAACCGCAUGGUUCAAAAGUGAAAGACGGUCUUGCUGUCACUUAUAGAUGGAUCCGCGCUGCAUUAGCUAGUUGGUAAGGUAACGGCUUACCAAGGCAACGAUGCAUAGCCGACCUGAGAGGGUGAUCGGCCACACUGGAACUGAGACACGGUCCAGACUCCUACGGGAGGCAGCAGUAGGGAAUCUUCCGCAAUGGGCGAAAGCCUGACGGAGCAACGCCGCGUGAGUGAUGAAGGUCUUCGGAUCGUAAAACUCUGUUAUUAGGGAAGAACAUAUGUGUAAGUAACUGUGCACAUCUUGACGGUACCUAAUCAGAAAGCCACGGCUAACUACGUGCCAGCAGCCGCGGUAAUACGUAGGUGGCAAGCGUUAUCCGGAAUUAUUGGGCGUAAAGCGCGCGUAGGCGGUUUUUUAAGUCUGAUGUGAAAGCCCACGGCUCAACCGUGGAGGGUCAUUGGAAACUGGAAAACUUGAGUGCAGAAGAGGAAAGUGGAAUUCCAUGUGUAGCGGUGAAAUGCGCAGAGAUAUGGAGGAACACCAGUGGCGAAGGCGACUUUCUGGUCUGUAACUGACGCUGAUGUGCGAAAGCGUGGGGAUCAAACAGGAUUAGAUACCCUGGUAGUCCACGCCGUAAACGAUGAGUGCUAAGUGUUAAGGGGGUUUCCGCCCCUUAGUGCUGCAGCUAACGCAUUAAGCACUCCGCCUGGGGAGUACGACCGCAAGGUUGAAACUCAAAGGAAUUGACGGGGACCCGCACAAGCGGUGGAGCAUGUGGUUUAAUUCGAAGCAACGCGAAGAACCUUACCAAAUCUUGACAUCCUUUGACAACUCUAGAGAUAGAGCCUUCCCCUUCGGGGGACAAAGUGACAGGUGGUGCAUGGUUGUCGUCAGCUCGUGUCGUGAGAUGUUGGGUUAAGUCCCGCAACGAGCGCAACCCUUAAGCUUAGUUGCCAUCAUUAAGUUGGGCACUCUAAGUUGACUGCCGGUGACAAACCGGAGGAAAGGUGGGGAUGACGUCAAAUCAUCAUGCCCCUUAUGAUUUGG
rnacentral:rRNA from 1 species